rnacentral:rRNA from 1 species
UACGUAGGGGGCGAGCGUUGUCCGGAUUCAUUGGGCGUAAAGAGCUCGUAGGCGGUUCGGUAAGUCAGGUGUGAAAUCUCCACGCUCAACGUGGAGGGGCCACCUGAUACUGCCGUGACUCGAGUCCGGUAGGGGAGUGUGGAAUUCCCGGUGUAGCGGUGAAAUGCGCAGAUAUCGGGAAGAACACCCGUGGCUAAGGCGGCUCUCUAGUACGGUACUGACGCUGAGACGCGAAAGCGUGGGGAGCGAACAGG